CCUACGGGGGGCAGCAGUGAGGAAUAUUGGUCAAUGGGCGAGAGCCUGAACCAGCCAAGUAGCGUGCAGGAUGACGGCCCUAUGGGUUGUAAACUGCUUUUGUACGGGGAUAAAGGAGCUUACGUGUAAGUUUUUGCAGGUACCGUACGAAUAAGGACCGGCUAAUUCCGUGCCAGCAGCCGCGGUAAUACGGAAGGUCCGGGCGUUAUCCGGAUUUAUUGGGUUUAAAGGGAGCGCAGGCCGUCGGUUAAGCGUGUUGUGAAAUGCAGAUGCCCAACAUCUGACUUGCAGCGCGAACUGGCUGACUUGAGUACGCACGACGUUGGCGGAAUUUGCCGUGUAGCGGUGAAAUGCUUAGAUAUGGCGAAGAACUCCGAUUGCGAAGGCAGCUGACGGGAGCGCAACUGACGCUCAUGCUCGAAAGUGCGGGUAUCGAA
rnacentral:rRNA from 1 species